GGUUGAGAAGCACAACUCGUGCUUAUUCACAAUCAAAUUUUGUGAGAACAAAUUGGUUCCUUUCUACUUGAUGCCUCCUCGUUGGACCUGGCUGGUUAAUUUUGAUGUUUCAUUUGGAUUUCUGUUCUGGUUAAGAAGCAUGACUCGUUCCUUUUCACAUUCAAAUUUUGUGAGAACAAAUUGGUUCCUUUCUACUUGAUGCCUCCUCGUUGGACCUGGCUGGUUAAUUUUGAUGUUUUAUUUGGAUUUCUGUUCUGGUUAAGAAGCAUGACUCGUUCCUUUUCACAUUCAAAUUUUGUGAGAACAAAUUGGUUCCUUUCUACUUGAUGCCUCCUCGUUGGACCUGGCUGGUUAAUUUUGAUGUUUUAUUUGGAUUUCUGUUCUUGUUAAGAAGCACAACUCGUACUUAUUCACAAUCAAAUUUCAGUGAUUUACCAAGAUAUGGGUCAAGAAGCUUUAUGCCUUAUGUGGAGAAUCUUUGUUCUGGAACGCUUUUAACAUUUUUUUCUAUAUUUUAUAUGGUAACAUUAAAAAAAAAAAAUUAAAACCCCUAUCUCC